CGAUUCUGGCUCAGAUUGAACGCUGGCGGCGUGCUUAACACAUGCAAGUCGAACGCGAACGGGGCUCGGCCCCAAGUAGAGUGGCGCACGGGGGAGUAACGCGUGGACAAUCUGCCCUUAUGACUGGAAUACAGUUGGAAACGGCUGCUAAUACCGGAUACGCUCAGGAAGAACUUUUUUGAGGAAAGGCGGCCUCUGCUUGCAAGCUGUCGCAUAAGGAUGAGUCCGCGUCCCAUUAGCUAGUUGGCGGGGUAACGGCCCACCAAGGCAACGAUGGGUAGCCGAUUUGAGAGGAUGAUCGGCCACACUGGGACUGAAACACGGCCCAGACUCCUACGGGAGGCAGCAGUGGGGAAUAUUGCGCAAUGGGCGAAAGCCUGACGCAGCGACGCCGCGUGAGGGAAUGAAGGUUUUCGGAUCGUAAACCUCUGUCAGAAGGGAAGAAACUGCCGUGCUCUAAUCAUCAUGGCAUUGACGGUACCUUCAAAGGAAGCACCGGCUAACUCCGUGCCAGCCGCGGC
rnacentral:rRNA from 1 species